CUGAACGCUUCCUCUCUGGGAUUUAUGUUUGAGGUUUUCACAGAGCUCUGUGUGUGGGUCUCUGCGGGCUGAACGGAGCGGCUCUGUUCGGAGGUAAGCCCAUUUAAAUUUAUUUAUCCCACCUGUGUGCCAAUAAAAGUGGAAUAAAACUAAUUAUUUCCUCCAGAAAUGGAACCAGAUCAGAACUUUUUUGAUCGCCGAAGCUUCAGUAAUUAAGUCAUCUGGUGACUCCCGUAUGUUUUAUAAGUUAUGUGAUUUGAUUAUGAAGAAAAUCUGCUCGUCAUUAUAGUUUUUACUAUUCAUUUUAAAUCAAAACAGAUAAAUACUGAUGAGUGUCUCUGCUGGAGGCUGAUCAGUUUGAUUGGUCAUCAGUUUGGAGCAUAAAACCAGAAUCUGUUUCCUGAAACAUUAUUUUCUGAACUUCAGGUUCUCCAUCUUUGACUUUUAAAACAGAUGUUUCCCAUCGAGCUGCAAUAAUAGCCGUCCUCUCCAAGACCUACAGGGAAGUCGCUUUUAGCAGGCAUGGCCCGGGAACUCUGGUUUCAGAACCUAUUUGAAGGUUCUGUUGCUGAGUUUAGGGAUGUUCCUAAUGUAAUGUUCUCCCAGGCUUUGAUUGGGUCCAACUGACAGGUUUCAUCUCUGAGGAGAUCAAAGCAGCAGAGAAAAACAGUUCAGAUCAAACUCUGUGUCCAAAUCAGAGCCCGCUCUGAUAUGUGCCGAGUUCUGUUACCCAAAGUACUUCAGAUCUGAAACACAGAGGAGUGUUUGGUGUCCGUGUUCCUAUUAGAACCUGUUCCAGGCCAGAGCUAAAGUAGAUGGGACCUAAAGGAAAACCUUGAGGGACUCCAACUUAUAAUUCAGGUAACCAUCGCAGGAUGACAGCUCCAUGCUGAACGUCACCUCAGUAUGACAACAUCAGGCCCAGGAACCUUUUAUCCAAAUGUUGUUCAUGCUGGCCACCACUCCGCUCUUUGGCGCCGCCUCCUGCUGCCUCUCUGGAUCUGGAUUGGUGAACCGGUGGUACAGGUGAGGGCAUCCCACCAGCACUUCCACCCCCACUCCAUAAAGUUACCUGGUGACAUCACUCUGGGGGGCUUGUUCCCCAUCCAUGCCCGCGGUCCUCAUGGCGUGAACUGUGGCGAGCUGAAGAAGGAGAAGGGCAUCCACCGGAUGGAAGCCAUGUUGUACGCUCUGGAUCAGAUCAACAGUGACCCUGAGCUCCUGCCCAACAUCACGCUGGGGGCCCGCAUCUUGGACACCUGCUCCAGAGACACCUACGCCCUCGAACAGUCGCUCACCUUUGUUCAGGCACUGAUCCAGAAGGACAUAUCCGACAUACGCUGCUCCAACGGUGAACCGCCCAUCAUCCGCAAACCAGAGAGGGUGGUGGGUGUGAUCGGCGCAUCGGCCAGCUCCGUGUCCAUCAUGGUGGCCAACAUCCUGCGACUGUUCGAGAUACCUCAGGUGAGCUACGCGUCUACGGCUCCGGAGCUCAGCGACAACAAUCGCUACGACUUCUUCUCCCGGGUGGUUCCUCCCGACUCGUACCAGGCUCAGGCCAUGCUGGACAUUGUCAAAGCGCUGGGCUGGAACUAUGUCUCUACGCUGGCGUCGGAGGGGAACUAUGGAGAAAGUGGUGUCGAGGCCUUCAUGAAGAUCUCCAGAGAGGCUGGUGGAGUGUGCAUUGCUCAGUCAGUGAAGAUCCCUCGGGAGCCAGAAGCUGGGGAGUUCGAUAAGAUCAUAAGACGUCUGAUGGAGACGAGCAACGCUAGAGGAGUGAUCAUCUUCGCCAACGAGGAUGACAUCAAGCGUGUCCUUGAAGCAGCGAGGCAGGCUAACCUAACGGGACAUUUCCUGUUUGUCGGGUCAGACAGCUGGGGAGCGAAGAGCUCACCAAUCGCAGAGCUGGAAGAUGUUGCAGAGGGCGCUGUCACCAUUCUGCCCAAGCGAGUCUCGAUUGACGGCUUUGAUCAGUACUUCAUGUCUCGCUCUCUGGAGAACAACCGCAGGAACAUCUGGUUUGCUGAGUUCUGGGAGGACGACUUCAGGUGCAAAUUGACCCGCCCUGGGAUAAAACUGGACUCAGACAAGAAGAAAUGUACAGGUGGGGAGCGGAUUGGUCGGGACUCGUCCUACGAGCAGGAGGGGAAGGUCCAGUUUGUGAUUGAUGCGGUCUACGCCGUUGCUUACGCUCUACACAACAUGCACCAGGACUUGUGUCCCAACAGCCAUGGGGUCUGUAACAGCAUGGAUCCUGUGGAGGGGCGCCUGCUGCUGGACUACAUCAGAGCCGUCAACUUCAAUGGAAGUGCAGGAACAAGUGUUUUGUUCAAUGAAAACGGCGAUGCUCCGGGACGCUACGACAUUUUUCAGUUUCAGAUGACCAAUCACAGCCACCCUGGUUAUCAUGUCAUCGGCCAGUGGACCAAUAAUCUGAGACUCAAUCUGGAGGAGAUGCAGUGGUCUGGAGGAGACAAAUCCGUCCCAGAAUCCAUCUGUAGCUUCCCCUGUAAACCAGGAGAGAGGAAGAAGAUGGUGAAAGGAGUCCCCUGCUGCUGGCACUGUGAGCUCUGUGACGGAUACCAGUACCAGCUGGAUGAGUUCAACUGUGAGACCUGCCCGACAGACAUGCGUCCCAUCCCUAACAGAACCGCCUGUUGUCCCACACCCAUUAUCAAGCUAGAGUGGAAUUCUCCCUGGGCCUUGGUACCCGCCUCCCUCGCCAUGCUCGGCAUCCUAGCAACCAGUGCUGUGGUGAUAACCUUUAUUCGCUUUAACGACACCCCCAUAGUCAGGGCGUCAGGAAGAGAGCUGAGCUACGUCCUCCUAACAGGUAUCUUUCUGAUCUACCUGAUCACCUUCCUGAUGAUCGCAGAGCCAGGUGUGGUGGCAUGUGCAUUCAGACGCCUCUUGCUGGGCCUUGGCAUGGCCAUCACUUACUCUGCCAUGUUAACCAAAACCAACCGAAUUUACAGAAUCUUUGAACAGGGCAAGAGGUCGGUGACUCCGCCCAAAUUCAUUAGCCCCACCUCUCAGCUUGCUAUCACCUUUAUCCUCAUUUCUGUCCAGGUUCUUGGCGUGUUUGUGUGGUUCGCUGUUGUUCCUCCUCACACCAUCAUCGACUAUGAGGAGCUCCGCCCACCAAACCCAGACCUGGCCCGGGGCAUCCUGAAGUGUGACAUGUCUGACCUUUCCAUCAUCUGCUGCCUCAGCUACAGCAUCGUUCUCAUGGUAACGUGUACGGUUUACGCAGUGAAGAGUCGAGGUGUUCCAGAGACGUUCAACGAAGCGAAGCCCAUCGGCUUCACCAUGUACACAACCUGCAUCGUCUGGCUCGCCUUCGUGCCCAUCUUCUUUGGUACUGCUCAGUCCACUGAGAAGCUCUUCAUCCAGACGGCCACUCUGACCGUGUCCAUGUCCCUCAGCGCCUCCGUCUCUCUGGGGAUGCUGUACAUUCCCAAAGUCUAUGUCAUCAUCUUCCAUCCCGAGCAAAACGUCCAGAAGAGGAAGAGGAGCUUCAAGGCUGUUGUCCAAGCGGCUAAACUGUCCCAGAAGACAGACUCCCAGAACGGAGACACCAAGAUUGAACCCGACAGGUCCCAGUAGUGUCACCAACUGAAGUACUUCUUCAGAUAACAGCCCCAGCAGAAAAAUUCUGGAGUCCUUAGGAAUGGCAUACCCCAAGAUUAUCCCGGUACCGGCCAAUUAUCCCCGAGCACAUCAUCAUCAUGAAGAUCACGCACGCUGAGCUUUUAUUGUGAAAAUCAGGCUUUGGGUCAGACAGGAAGGAGCUCGGUGACGCUGCCGUAGCAUCAGAGACAUUGAUCUCUAUUUAUUGUAUUGAUAUCCGAUUGGCUAUUGGUAGUACACAUUGUUAUGACGUCACCAGCCGCCAUAUUGGUGCUCCCUAGUUACAACCAGUCGAAAUGUAAACAAUACAUGUGCUACAGCAUCGAACAAUCAUGAUUUCCUCAUUUUCAGGGGGGCUUAAGACUUUUAAAAUAAAGAUAAAUUCAUAAUUUUGACUUAAACCAUAUUACACUUUAUUGGCUAUGUCUAUAUAUUUACAUCUAUGAUUUGAAUAGGACUAGGAAGGCUAAAGCGUAUACUGGCAUAUAAUUACAUCAAGAUUCAGUAUUACAUAUAUAUAUAUAUAUAUAUAUAUAUAUAUAUAGGGGAGACCAGGGCUAGUUGUCACACGGGUAAGUUGCCACAUUGCAAUUAUCUUCUCCAUCAGAGGGUGCAACCAAAAAGUGGAAUACCAGUUUUCCUCCUUUGCAUGGUCAGGUCUCAUGGACUGAGUGAGAAGAAAGACAAGUCAUUGUAAAUUGAGAUGAGCUCCAAUUAACCAUUUUCCACUACACAAAGUAAAAAAUAUUAACUCCAUAUUUUUUUAAAUAACCUUCAUUCAGAUAAAAAUUCUAGCAGUUAUACAUAUGGACUUUUUAAAAUAGAUAUUAAGGCAUCCAGUCAUACCUCAGUCAUAUUUCUGAUUAAGCCUAACAUUAAUAUAGAGCUAGCAUUAGCAAACAUGGUCAUUUGGGGCAAGUUGUCACAUAAGAACUUACUCCAAAAUGAUAAUUUAAAAAAAUAAUUUAAAUCAAUACAUCCUAAUAAAACUUUUACAUUAUUUUUACAGAAAAAAGAGCGAUUUAAAAGAGAGGACAAAGUAAGAAGCUGGUCAGGAGUUAUAAAAGCAAAACAGAGCAUGGCCGUGCAGCACCUGACGUGAUGCUGAGGCCAGUCAGGCAGGUGACCCUCGGUCACAAGUCGAACAGGAGUACAGCGAAGGACUUUAAUGUCAAUUACUGUACUUUGGCGUGAUACUGUAAAACAUUCACACCAGCGGAAAUUCAGGGUCAAACAGCUAUCAAUCAAUGUUUCAUAAUAUUUAAUUUUAUUUGAUGUUAUUUCAUAUGAUGCAAUUGAAUCUACAUAA